UGCAUCGGCCGGGAAUCGAAUCCGGGGCGCCCGCGUGGCAGGCGAGCAACUACCACUGAACCAAAAGC